ACAAUGAAGAGUUUGAUCCUGGCUCAGGAUGAACGCUAGCUACAGGCUUAACACAUGCAAGUCGAGGGGCAUCAGGAAGAAAGCUUGCUUUCUUUGCUGGCGACCGGCGCACGGGUGAGUAACACGUAUCCAACCUGCCCUUUACUCGGGGAUAGCCUUUCGAAAGAAAGAUUAAUACCCGAUGGCAUAAUGAUUCCGCAUGGUUUCAUUAUUAAAGGAUUCCGGUAAAGGAUGGGGAUGCGUUCCAUUAGGUUGUUGGUGAGGUAACGGCUCACCAAGCCUUCGAUGGAUAGGGGUUCUGAGAGGAAGGUCCCCCACAUUGGAACUGAGACACGGUCCAAACUCCUACGGGAGGCAGCAGUGAGGAAUAUUGGUCAAUGGGCGGUAGCCUGAACCAGCCAAGUAGCGUGAAGGAUGAAGGCUCUAUGGGUCGUAAACUUCUUUUAUAUAAGAAUAAAGUGCAGUAUGUAUACUGUUUUGUAUGUAUUAUAUGAAUAAGGAUCGGCUAACUCCGUGCCAGCAGCCGCGGUAAUACGGAGGAUCCGAGCGUUAUCCGGAUUUAUUGGGUUUAAAGGGAGCGUAGGUGGACUGGUAAGUCAGUUGUGAAAGUUUGCGGCUCAACCGUAAAAUUGCAGUUGAUACUGUCAGUCUUGAGUACAGUAGAGGUGGGCGGAAUUCGUGGUGUAGCGGUGAAAUGCUUAGAUAUCACGAAGAACUCCGAUUGCGAAGGCAGCUCACUGGACUGCAACUGACACUGAUGCUCGAAAGUGUGGGUAUCAAACAGGAUUAGAUACCCUGGUAGUCCACACAGUAAACGAUGAAUACUCGCUGUUUGCGAUAUACAGUAAGCGGCCAAGCGAAAGCAUUAAGUAUUCCACCUGGGGAGUACGCCGGCAACGGUGAAACUCAAAGGAAUUGACGGGGGCCCGCACAAGCGGAGGAACAUGUGGUUUAAUUCGAUGAUACGCGAGGAACCUUACCCGGGCUUAAAUUGCAGUGGAAUGAUGUGGAAACAUGUCAGUGAGCAAUCACCGCUGUGAAGGUGCUGCAUGGUUGUCGUCAGCUCGUGCCGUGAGGUGUCGGCUUAAGUGCCAUAACGAGCGCAACCCUUAUCUUUAGUUACUAACAGGUCAUGCUGAGGACUCUGGAGAGACUGCCGUCGUAAGAUGUGAGGAAGGUGGGGAUGACGUCAAAUCAGCACGGCCCUUACGUCCGGGGCUACACACGUGUUACAAUGGGGGGUACAGAAGGCAGCUAGCGGGUGACCGUAUGCUAAUCCCAAAAUCCUCUCUCAGUUCGGAUCGAAGUCUGCAACCCGACUUCGUGAAGCUGGAUUCGCUAGUAAUCGCGCAUCAGCCACGGCGCGGUGAAUACGUUCCCGGGCCUUGUACACACCGCCCGUCAAGCCAUGGGAGCCGGGGGUACCUGAAGUACGUAACCGCAAGGAUCGUCCUAGGGUAAAACUGGUGACUGGGGCUAAGUCGUAACAAGGUAGCCGUACCGGAAGGUGCGGCUGGAACACCUCCUUU
rnacentral:rRNA from 1 species